GGUAAAAUGGCUGAUAAAAGUAUUAGACUGUAAAUCUAAGAAUAGAGGUCAAGCCCUCUUUUUGCCAA
rnacentral:tRNA from 1 species